rnacentral:misc_RNA from 1 species
UUAAAAUAGAAAUAAAAUAAUAUAAAGAAAUGUUAAUAAAGAAAGAAUGAUCAUUAGGGCAACCCUACUUGGUUUGGCAUUUCACAAGUCUGGUCUAUACACAGUUAAAUCUGGGUACUGGAUUGCUCAAAAAAUUUGUAGCACUCGAAAAUCUUUAAAUCAUGUAGGACGAGGUCCUAAUUUAGAUAGCUUCCAUUUUGCUCUUUGGCAGGAAUUUUGGAAGCUUAAUUUGCCUCCAAAACUUACAGUCUUCAUGUGGAAAUUUUUACAAGGGAGAUUUUCAAUAAAUGAUCAAAUUAAUAAGAUUUUGCCUUCUUG